rnacentral:rRNA from 1 species
UACAUGCAAGUCAACUUGACUUUAGAUAGCAAUAUCGAAAAGUAGGGUGGCGCACGGGUGCGUAACGCGUAGGUAAUCUGCCCUGAGGUCUGACAUAACCCGUUCGAAAGGCGGGCUAACAUCAGAUGAUAUAUAAUCACGACAUCGUGGAAAUAUCAAAUCUUCGGAGCCUUGGGAUGAGCCUGCGUCUGAUUAGGUAGUUGGCGGAGUAAUAGCCCACCAAGCCUACGAUCAGUAGCUGGUCUGAGAGGAUGAUCAGCCACACUGGAACUGAGACACGGUCCAGACUCCUACGGGAGGCAGCAGUAAGGAAUAUUGCUCAAUGGGGGAAACCCUGAAGCAGCAACGCCGCGUGAAGGAUGAAAUACUUUGUAUGUAAACUUCUGUAAGAUGGGAAAAUAUUCUCCUCGGGAGAAUUGAUUGUACCAUCAGAGUAAGCCCCGGCAAACUACGUG